rnacentral:rRNA from 1 species
UGCAAUGCAUCAUUCAAGUUUCAGACCUAUCAACUGUGGACGGUAUGGUAUUGGCCUACCGGGGCAACGACAGGUAACGGGGAAUUAGGGUUCGAUUCCGGAGAGGGAGCCUGAGAAACGGCUACCACAUCUGAGGAAGGCAGCACGCGCGCAAAUUACCCAAUCCUGACACAGGGAGGUAGUGACAAGAAAUAACAAUACGGGGCUUAAUGUCUUGUAAUUGGAAUGAUGGGAAUUUAAACCUCUUCCAGAGUAUCAAUUGGAGGGCAAGUCUGGUGCCAGCAGCCGCGGUAAUUCCAGCUCCAAUAGCGUAUAUUAAAAUUGUUGCAGUUAAAAAGCUCGUAGUUGAAUUUCUGCUGCAUUGCUUUUGCUCCUUUACGAGUCUUUGCAUUGUGGCUUAUUUCGGACUUUGUUUUACAAUGUCCGGAUGUUUACUUUGAGAA